rnacentral:lncRNA from 1 species
CCCCCCCCCCACAAAAAAAAACCUUCCAUCUAAGGGUUAACUACAUAAUAGCAAAACCAGAAACAGCUAGCGGCAAUUAUUGCCUAUAGAAAUAACAAUAGCAAAUAUGGAAGCGACAUAUGAUACACUUAUAAACUAACAAUACGAAAAAUAAUCAAGCAGGAAAAAUUAAAUGUUUACGUAUUAAAUAACAAAUAUCUGCAAUGGCAACCAAUUACAUUAUUCAAGAAAUAUUUACUUUCAAUAAAUUACGGUUUGUGGGAGAUAUGCUAGAAUGUUUAAUGGCAUACUUUUAUAGCAAAUUACAGCCUAUCUAAGUGAUUUUCACCUAAAACUUACAUGGCAUUUUAAGCAGGGACUUAAAUGUAUUUAAUGCAAAACGUAUGUAUAAAUUUCAACUUUGAAACGGUGUACGGUAUUAGGAUCAUUGCUACCUCUCCAGACAUAAUAUCUUUUAUAUUCGACUUGAUGUUUUCUACCUCAACUUAGUUAGUCAGAUACUCUAAAUUUGCAGCUUUUUAUUGCAUCAGUCCAUACAGUCAAUGCAUCAAUGCUAGAUGAUAAAACACUACAACACAUGGAAGUCUAUAAAAAGUAAAUAUCUUUCUCAACAAAUAAACCUUAAGAUAUUUGUAUUUUCUUGCACUUAAGAGUUCAGUUUGAAUAGAUAUUAGAUAUAUAUGUGGUCUAUUUUCUGGAUCAAUUCAUAAGUUUGAUACAAUUCUUAUUGUGCAGGCAAAACAAAGAGGAGAUAGAACGUUGUCAGUGGAUUCAAUAAACGUGGCCAGUGAUGAAGUAAAAGAUUCUGGAAAACCAGCCAAUACAGAAGUUUCAAUGGAUAGCAACCUAGAUGAAAUUUAAUAAAUGUUUCCAUCGUACUCUAUGUAGUAAACUUGCAACAAAGCCACCACUAUGAACCUUUGCCUUCAGAAUGCCUACAUGAGUUUUCGUGAGACACUUUUGCAUUUUCAUGCUUACACAAGAUAUACAAAUUCCUCAAUCCUCACUCUUUAUACUAUAAACAUAAUAGGUACCAUGGGUAAAUAUAAAUAAGGCCAGUACAAAAAACUCUCUAUUUCAUUCAUUUAAUUACAACAGAAGCACUAUGACCAAUCAUACACAUAAAUAUAAGUAUGUUUUGCAUUAUAUAUCAAUUCGCAAAAAGCAACUUAAGCUAGAAUAAGAGACAGAAUAAUAUAUUUCCAAGAAUUAAAGCUCUUUAAGUGUGACUAAAAGGAUAAAUAUUUAUGGUAUUUGAGCAAAUAUCUAGUAGUACAAAUGCAACAAAAGUAUACCUUCAGCUAGAAACGUUGAUUGUGAAAGAUCACCAUCAAGAUUGUCAAACUUAAAGUUUCUUCUUUCUUUUUUUGAAGUUUGUUUAUUGAGAUGGAUAUAGCUAAUUGGUUGUCAAUGAAACUAUGUUUUGCCCUGAGUGCAAAGAAGAGUUGGGUUUUUUUCCAGAAUAGCAUCUCAAGUAAGGACCGGCUCCAUUUCUCUUCAAGUUAUUACUAGCUUUUUAUGAGUCACUAUUAGAUUAUAUGGGUGGAGAAGCCUCUCUACCUCUUUAAGGUAGGGGCAAGGUCUGGUUACACACUACACUCUCCAAACCCCACUUGUGGGAUUACACGGGGUAUGUUAUUAUUGUUGGGUGGAGAAGCAAAGACAAAUAAUCUGAUUAGUCGAUCUUAAACAUAAGUCUAUGACACUUUUUCUUCACCUAAGAUAAUGAUCUCUAGAAUUAGUAGGAAUCACUACUUCUGACAAUCCAUCAAAAGUUUCACUUGUGUAGUCAUCCUAUGGAUCAGUUUUUUGCUUUUUUUUUGAUAAAGUAAAAUAGUUUCAUCAAAAGAAGCGCAAAAAAUGCAUGUAUACAAGAGGUAUACCAAAAGGUAGAAAAAGCUUCCGAAAUGAUAUGCUUUUCUAUGAAAGACACCCAACCUCGUGAUUGCACCAAAAAGGAAUAAGAGAUAGAAGGUUAUUCCUCAAGUGUACAAAACCAUCUCUACUCCAUCAAAAGCGCUCCAAAUCCUCUCUCUUCAUACAGUCCAUAAGUACAGAGGAGCAGCAUGCCAUAACCUGUGUCUCCUCCGUCUUCUAAAGGUCCAACUAAAUAUUGUUUCUUUCAUAGCAUUACUCACUCCAUCACAGGAUUUCCCACCUCAACUAAGACGCUAUUCGAUAUAGAGGAGCAGUAUCCCAUACCCUGUGUCUCCUCCGUCGUCUAAAGGUCCAACUAAAUAUUAUUUCUUUCACAGUGCUCGGCAUUACUCACUCCGGUCCAAACCAUCACAGGAUUUCCCACCACAACUAAGACGCUAUUCGACAAAGUAAAUGGAAGUGAUUCAGAUUUUUCCAUGAGUCUUUACACAUGAAGCGCAAAUCAACAAAUAAACUUCUUCUUCCCCAAGUUCUCCACCGUCAAGAUUACCCUACGCACAGCUAGCCAAGUGAAAACAUAUACACCUUUCUCGACUCCUCCAUAGUCAUAAACUUCUCAUAAUAGGACUUGCAUAAAAGACACUGCCUUUUCCCCCGCACCCCAUCUCCAUACAUCUUGACUAUCAUGUGCUUCAACCUACCAGUCUUGCGCAAGUUGUUCCAAAACUUCAAAUCCCAAUGUGCUUCUCCCCUUGUAGACUCCAUAUCCUAUGGAUCAGGUUGCAGACAUAAAUAAAUAAAUAUGUUCUAUCUCUAAUAGCUUGAGCUCUCAGAUAAGGUAGUUCACACAAUUCAACAUGUUCUCUCUUUCCGGAUGGCACCAACUUAGGCAGAAAACUCGAGUUUGAGCUUUACCGCCGCCAAUUAACAAAAAUAUUUCUAUGUGCUAGGGUCAAGUAGAAAAUGCACAUCCUAAUUGAUGGAAGAGUAAUACAAGGGAUUCCUACCAAAAAUUUGGGAUCACCACCUAUGUGCAAGUUAUGUGCGUACAGACAAAGAAAGCUUGAGUCUAGAACUGACAUAUAACCAAGUGAAACAUCCAAAGAGGAAAAAAUAAUUAAAUGUCUGCGUAGAAAGCACCAAAAGAGUAAGUAAUGUAAUCUAGGAUCCAAGUAAUCUAGGUCAUCUGACCCCAUGUCAAUUGUCACCGUGUACUUUCUCUCUUCUUUUUCCUAGAGCAGUUUCUUCUUUCAUUAUUCUUACCUUUAUUACUCCAAUGACACUCGACACAAUUAUGUGCAUCGAUGUUAAGGUUGGUGUCUAAAACUAAGGUAUGACAAAGUGAAACAUCUCAGGAGGAAAAAGGAUUAAAUGCAUCAAGGAGGUUCCAAAAGACCAAGUUGUGCAAUCGUAAAUCCAAGUAAUCUAGGUGUCUGACAUAGCGUCAGUUCAAACUAUGUGCUCUUUUUCUUUUCUUUCUCCUAGAGCAGAUUCUCUCAUUCUCUCAAGUGCUAUAAGGAUAUUAUCAAUCAUUUAUUAAAGGAAGAAGCUCUUCAAAUUAUCAAUCAUUUCUUAAAGGAAGAAGCCCCCCUUAUCUGCAAAUAAAUGUGGAGAAGACUUGGUGUCUAGAAUUAACAUAUUAGCAAGUGAAGCAACUCAAGAGAAAAAAAUAAUUAAAUACAUCAGGGGAAAAUGUCAGAAAGGUAAUUAAAUCAAUCGAAAAACCAAUUAAUCUAGGUGAUCUAACAUUAUGUCAUUGUCCACAUAGUGUCAUUGUCCACAUAGUGUCAGUUAAUACUAUGUAUUCUCUUUUUUCCUAAAGCAAUUUCUUCUUGCUCUAUUCUUGCAAAGUACUACAAAAAAGAUUUUUGAAAAUGGAUGUUUUCCUUUUUUGAAAUGGAAAGUACUACAAGAAAGAUUAUUAAUCUUUUUGAAGAAAGAAGCUUUUCAUAGACAAAAAUUUCUUUUUUAUUGAAUAAAACUUCUUUUCUUUCCUUUCCUUCAAGGGGUGGAACGUUGGAGGAUUAUGCAUGAUACUCAGGUUACAUAUUCUUUUAGAUUUUUAUACAACCAAAUGGUGUUGCCUCUAUUGCUCCAACAGAAUUCAACACAAAUGUCAAAGGUGUUUUCAUACGUCCAAAAUUAGUUAGCACUUCCCCAACCUUGGUACCAUCAUUCUUUAUCCUUUUACUAGUGAAACAUGCUGAUCAGAAUUCAAAAUCUGUUUUGUACCCAUAGAAAGAUUCUGAUGAUAUCAUGUUCCUAUCAUUGUAGGGAAUUAAAGUCACAAAUACAUGAUAUAAGCUUGUAAUUUUCAAAAUUUCUAAUAAAUUAGAAUUAGAUAAAAUACUUGAUGAUACUUAAAUUAGAUGCAUCAGGGGAAAGCUCCAAGAGACUAAUUAAUGUAACUAAUAAUCCAAGAGGUACCUCACACAACACACACUCUUUCUCUUCUUUUUCCUAAAGAAGUUUCUUUUUUCAUUGUUCUCUCAAAGUGUUAUAAGGAAAAUUAUCAAUCAUUUAUGGAAAGAAGAAGCUCUAAUUAUGUAAAGACUUCUUCACAGGGGCUAUGAACUCCUCUUUCCUUCUUUUUUUUUUGGGGG